CCUACGGGUGGCAGCAGUGAGGACUAUUGGUCAAUGGGCGAGAGCCUGAACCAGCCAAGUCGCGUGAGGGAGUACUGCCCUAUGGGUUGUAAACCUCUUUUGUCGUGGAGCAACAGCCGGACGUGUCCGGCUGUGAGAGUACACGAAGAAAAAGCAUCGGCUCACUCCGUGCCCGCAGCCGCGGUAAUACGGGGGAUGCGAGCGUUAUCCGGGUUUAUUGGGGUUUAAGGGUGCGCAGGCGGAUUUGUAAGUCAGCGGUAAAAUCGUGGGGCUCAACCCCAUCCAGCCGUUGAAACUGGGGAUCUAGAGUGUGCGAGAGGUAUGCGGAAUGCGUGGUGUAGCGGUGAAAUGCAUAGAUAUCACGCAGAACCCCGAUUGCGAAGGCAGCAUACCGGUGCACAACUGACGCUCAGGCACGAAAGCGUGGGUAUCGAACAGGAUUAGAUACCCCAGUAGUC
rnacentral:rRNA from 1 species